UACGAAGGGGGCUAGCGUUGCUCGGAAUCACUGGGCGUAAAGGGUGCGUAGGCGGGUCUUUAAGUCAGGGGUGAAAUCCCAGAGCUCAACUCUGGAACUGCAUUCGAGACUGCAUUGCUGGAGUACGGAAGAGGAGGGCGGAAUUCCCGGUGUAGCGGUGAAAUGCGUAGAUAUCGGGAGGAACAUCAGUGGCGAAGGCGGCCCUCUGGUCCAGUACUGACACUCAAGUGCGAAAGCGUGGGGAGCAAACAGG
rnacentral:rRNA from 1 species